UUUCCACUUUUUCAAUCUUUAAAUAAAAAAUGGAAAGAUACCCCUGGGCCUUUCCUACUGCGGAUAACGGUAACAAAACAGCAUUAUCCGAUCUAAACUCAGCUGUGCCGCAAACACUAUCCUAAGUGCUGGAAGCGUUUAAAGGUACAAGCAACAUUAGCCUAGAAAUGCCUUCGGUAGCCAGACGUGAAUCAAAAGGCUCCUCAGAUGCCGGCGAAAUGUCUUACACCGGUAAGGGGAGGAGAGAAAGAGAACUGAAUAUAGUUAAGUGGACACUGAUCGGAGAGGAAGCAGCACGGGUUCCAGACACCUAACGGGCAGCCUUGGGGAUGCAGUAAAGGCCAACCCUUUUCUUUCCUUCCCGUCCCUUCAGUGGCCGGACGCCUCACCCAGGAGAGGACACAGGGAACUCAACAACGUCUCGGGAGCAACGGCCCAGCGGAAAAGGAAACGGAGGUCCAGGAAAGGGACGUGAUUUUCCAGACACACCUGUGAAAGGUCAUGAUUUCAUUGAACUGGUCCUAAGUGCCAGGUGCACUAAGAUUGUCUGCUAUCUUCACAAUAACCCCCAAACAGCCAUGUUGAACCAUGAAAGGACCUCAGGAAUGAAAGCCACACACAGCAAAGCAACAAGAUAAAAGAGGCAUGGGUUCCUAAUGCAAGAGGCACUGAACCAAUCAAUACCCACUGCCCUCCAGACCUCUACAUGAAAGAAAAAAAACUGCUGUCCUGUACAGGUUAAUAAAUGUUGGUCAAGCUGGUCUCGAACUCCUGACCUCGUGAUCCGCCUGCGUCGGCCUCCCAAAGUGCCGGGAUUACAGGCAUGAGCCACCAUGACCAGCCCAGUUUGAUGCCUUUCUUAAACCUCAGUAUUUGUGACUCUGAAUCUGCACAUUUUAUCCAACCCAGAAAUGAUGGGCUCCACAUAAAACUUCCUUCUCCAAGAAACCUCCUCCUGGACGUUUGAUCUCUUGAGCACUUGCAGUUAGUGCCACAUUAUAGUUGAAGAGUUGCCAGCAGGAAGAAGAGGUAUGGACUACUUACUAUAAUAAUCUUUCAUUCAAUCACCCAAGUUUUUUUUUCUACUCUGUAAAGUGUUAGAUGCUUCUGAGUGAAAUAGGUCUAAUACUUCCUUACAGCAGUUAGAGGGGCCAAGUGUGAAAAAAUGAUUACAACAACGGUCUGAAGGGCUGUAAUAGUGGCAUUUUGCAAGUAACGUAGGAGCACAGAGGAGAUAACAACAAAGUUUCCUGGGGGUGUUCAGGAAGACUUCACAGAAAAGUAAUGUUCAAGUGUGGUUCUCAACAAAGAGUAGGAGUUUUCUGAGAGAGGAAAAAAAUGGUGAUAAGGGCAUUCCAGAAGGGGGCUAGAAUAGAGUCUUAAACAGUUACGAUGUAUUUGGAAGGAGUGAGAUUUUCAGUAUGACUAGUCUAGAAGGAAAUUGUGUUGAGGAAUAAAGCUGAGUUUGGGGUUUGUAUUAGUCUGUUUUUACGUUACUGUAAAGGAAUACCUGAGACUGGAUAAUUUAUGAAGAAGAGAGGUUUAAUUGGCUCGUGGUUCUGCAGGCAGUACAAACAUGGCACCAACAUUUGCUCAGCUUCUGGUGAGGACAUCAGGGAGCUUUCAAUCAUGGUGGAAGGUAAAGGGGAGCCAACAUGUUACAGAGCAGGACCAAGAAACGGGGAGGUACCACACCCUUUUACACAACCUCUUUUAAACAACUAGCACAAGAAGAACUCACUUAUCACCAAGGAAAUGGUGCUAAACCAUCCAUGAAGAGUCUGUCACCAUGACCCAUUCACCUCCCAGCAGACCCCACCCUCCAACACUGGGAAUCACAUUUCAGUAUAAGAUUUGGAGGGGAAAUGACUAAAACACAAAAAGAAAUGGCAACAAAAGUCAAAACAGACAAAUGGAAUUUAAUUAAACUUAAGAACUUCUGUACAGCAAAAGAAACAGUCAUUAGAGUGAAUCAGCAACCAACAGAAUGGGAAAAAAAUUUUUGCAUUCUACCCAUCUGACAAAGGGCUAAUAUCUAGAAUCUACAAAGAAAUAAAGCAGAUUUACAAGGAAAAAAACCCCCAUGAAAAAGUGGAUGAAUGUUAUGAACAGACACUUUUCAAAAGAAGAGAUAUAUGAAGCCAACAAAAGUGAAAAAAUGCUCAUUAUCUCUGGUCAUUAGAGAAAUGCAAAUCAAAACCACAUUGAGAUACCAUCUCACAACAGUUAGAAUGGUGAUCAUUAAAAAAUCUGGAGACAACAGAUGCUGGAGAGGAUGUGGAGAAAUAGGAACACUUUUACACUGUUGGUAGGAGUGUAAAUUAGUUCAACUAUUGUGGAAUAUAGUGUGGCAAUUCCUCAAGGUCCUAGAAAUAGAAAUGCCAUGUGACCAGCAAUCCUAUUUCUGGGUAUAUAUCCAAAGGAUUAUAAAUUGUUCUGUUAUAAAGACGCAUGUACAUGUAUGUUCAUUGUGGUGCUGUUUACAAUAGCAAAGACCUGGAACCAACCCAAAUGCCCAUCAAUGAUAGACUGGACAGAGAAAACGUGGCACAUGUACACCAUGGAAUACUAUGCAGCCAUAAAAAACAACAAGUUUGUGUCCUUUGUAGAGACAUGGAUGAAUCUGGAAACCAUCAUUCUCAGCAAACUGACACAAGAACAGAAAAUCAAACACCGCCUGUUCUCACUUAUAGGCGGAUGUUGAACAAUGAGAACACGUGGACAGAGAGAGGGGAACAUCACACACUGGGGUCUG